GAGAUCAAUUGCCCGCUUGGCCUUACGUCGGUCGAUACUUUCCAGACCUAUGGUAAUCGGCAGACGCGAUGACCCGGAUGGGUGGUU
rnacentral:sRNA from 1 species